ensembl:snoRNA
AUCCAAGGUGAUUGGCUCUCCAAGGGCCCAACUAGCGUCACCUUCAUGAAAGAAGCAAAUUGGAAGAAAAUCAGGCAUACCUGGAGUCACUUGGGACAUAGGUGCUUAUUUUCUUUACUGUCCUUUGACCUUCACAGGU